AUUGAACGCUGGCGGCAUGCCUUACACAUGCAAGUCGAACGGCAGCACGGGUGCUUGCACCUGGUGGCGAGUGGCGAACGGGUGAGUAAUAUAUCGGAACGUACCUUAUUGUGGGGGAUAACGCAGCGAAAGCUGUGCUAAUGCCGCAUAAUCCCUAAGGGGGAAAGCGGGGGACCGUAAGGCCUCGCGCAAUUAGAGCGGCCGAUACCUGAUUAGCUAGUUGGUGAGGUAAAGGCUCACCAAGGCAACGAUCAGUAGCUGGCCUGAGAGGACGAUCAGCCACACUGGGACUGAGACACGGCCCAGACUCCUACGGGAGGCAGCAGUGGGGAAUUUUGGACAAUGGGGGCAACCCUGAUCCAGCAAUGCCGCGUGAGUGAAGAAGGCCUUCGGGUUGUAAAGCUCUUUUGUCAGGGAAGAAACAGCAGCUCUAACACAGUAUGCGAAUGACGGUACCUGAAGAAUAAGCACCGGCUAACUACGUGCCAGCAGCCGCAGUAA
rnacentral:rRNA from 1 species